CUUUGAGUAACAGACUCACGCGUUCAGGACUGAAUCAUUCUGCUUGGAUAUACUAUUCUCUCAAACAAUGAAACUAUGGUUGGAAAUGUUGGUUUUUGCAUUGGUUAUUGCUGAAUGUAGAGCAGAGGAUACAGUUGAUCAGCCAGAUAAACAUGUAACUGAAGCUGAAGGAGGAUCAGUCACGUUACAAUGCAAAUAUACUGCAACUACAACAACACCAGAACUCUUCUGGUACAUCCAGAGAGCAAAUGAUGUUCCUAAAUACAUGCUGAGGAAAAACAAAUACGGAGGUGAUCAGGGCACUGAGUUCCAGGAGAGAUUUCACUCAAAGCUUUCAUCAGAUUCAGUUCCUCUGACGAUCAAGAAUCUGCGUGUGUCUGACUCUGCUGUGUACUACUGUGCU